rnacentral:rRNA from 1 species
AUUGAACGCUGGCGGCAGGCUUAACACAUGCAAGUCGAGCGGAGAUGAGGUGCUUGCACCUUAUCUUAGCGGCGGACGGGUGAGUAAUGCUUAGGAAUCUGCCUAUUAGUGGGGGACAACAUUCCGAAAGGAAUGCUAAUACCGCAUACGUCCUACGGGAGAAAGCAGGGGAUCUUCGGACCUUGCGCUAAUAGAUGAGCCUAAGUCGGAUUAGCUAGUUGGUGGGGUAAAGGCCUACCAAGGCGACGAUCUGUAGCGGGUCUGAGAGGAUGAUCCGCCACGCUGGGACUGAGACACGGCCCAGGCUCCUACGGGGGGCAGCAGUGGGGAAUAUUGGACAAUGGGGGGAACCCUGAUCCCGACAUGCCGCGUGUGUGAAGAAGGCCUUAUGGUUGUAAAGCACUUUAAGCGAGGAGGAGGCUACUGAGACUAAUACUCUUGGAUAGUGGACGUUACUCGCAGAAUAAGCACCGGCUAACUCUGUGCCAGCCGCCGCUGUAAAAC